GAGAACAAAGGCUGUCUCAGGGAGACAAAGCAGAAGUCAAGUGUGGUGCGUGAUGAUGACCCUGAGUGGAGGAGAAGCACAUGAAUGGAAGCAACCUGUGGCUCUGAUUGGAGAUUGCAGUGAAGUCUAAGGACAACUGGAGGCAUCUCAGCCUACACAGGGGCAUCAGGAACAAGGAGGAUAAGGGGAAUGUCUCAACACUUGUCGCCUUCUGGGCUACUCCUGAAAUGCAGUAGCUCAGCCUUAUGUGGAGGAUCCAGCUUCUCUGGAUGAGUCUGCACCGCACUGUUGCACCUGUGUCGGAUGUGCCAUUACAAUGCCCAACCUAAGAAGAACCAAACAAGGCACAGAUUUGUGAAAUCCCUCCGCCCUGCUAGUCACAGAACCGGGCCGAACCAGCCUGAAAACCGUUGACAGAGGGAGAGACAAUGUCUGUUAUGUCUCUCUCAGAGAAAAGCUCUCUUUUGUAUAGUUGUUCUGAUACAGAUGUUCCUCAAAUUGCAUUUUAAACCUGUUAUCCUGCCUCCACCACUGCAAGUUCUGCUGUAUCUAAGAAAAAAAUAUCUAUGGCCACUAUUUGUCUGUAUCAGAGAUUGAUAGCAGGAAAAUAAAGAAAUUGUCUAAUUCUGGGAAAUCUAAUUAGAGUCAGAAAAACUUUUAUAACUCAGAUUGUAUUGAGAAGUCAAAGUAUAAAGACAUAAAAGUAUAUUAUAUACAUAAAUUCACCAUAUGUUUGACUUUAAACAGUUAUUUAUUUUAUAUGUACAUAAUCUAAGUGAAAUUUUCAGCUGCAAUUAUAUAACAUCAUUAUAAACUUUCACUGAAAUGAACAAAUAAACUCAUUCUUAAAAGGUGAAGU